CCUAGGUUUCCUUUUGGGCGGCGUUUCGUUCCAGGCGCUGGCGUGGCGUUUAUCGUCAUCAGCUUAUCUGGCGCCCAUGUGUUUUAGCUCUGGCUGGCGUCGCAGCGCCUGGGCGGCUGUGGGACUUCCUGCACAGCGCGUCUUGCAGCGGGCUGGAGCCCGCCUAGUCAGCGCCACAUCUGGCCCGUUUAGUUUUCUGCUUGUGUCUCCUCUGCCGGUUCUCCUGGGGUGUUGCUUAAGCAACCGACUUGUGGGGGUGGGGUGGGUUUGGGCGGCGCGAGUGCGUAGCGCUGGUGUUUUCUUUGCUGGCGCGCGGUGGUGGUGGUUCUUGCGGUUAGGCUGUGGUGUAGGCUGGUGCUUGGGUUAGGUCUGGCGGUGUUUUUGUGCAACCCCUCCCGGGGGGCGGGGGGGCCAGCCUUCUGCUCUGUCUGCCGGGUCGGGGUGGGGUGUGGUGGGAUGGAUGGGGGUAGUUGGUGGCGGUUUUCGAGGUGUUUGCUUUCUGUUUUUCUUCUCUUUUCUUCUCUUCUUGCCCUGUCAGGGUUCUGGUCUCGGGGACCAGGCUGCUUUCGGGCAGUAGGGGGGCAGCGCGUCUGCCCCUCUUCAACCUUGUAAGGAUGAUUCCUCAAAAAAAAAAAAAAAGCUGCAGCCGCCGCGUCACCCAAACCCGACGCCUCCUGCAUCUGCACGUCCCCUACGUGGUCAACGAUGUCCGCUGCGGUCGCCAUGGCAGCCGCGGGCCUUACCCCACCCAAGGUGUUGCCACCCAGGUCGGCGACCCCGGCUGCAGCCGGAGCAGGGCUGCCUGCCGCAGCGGUCGUGGCUGUCCCAGCCGCCUGGGGGGCGCCACGGACCUCCACCUGCAUGGGCUCCUCACCGGCCAUCUCAAACUUGGCACAGUGCAGGUGAGAGAGCUGCGGGUCCCAGAUGGGGCCCCACACACAGGCAAAGAUGUGGUUUGUGAUGCCCUGGCCCGCGGGGGCCUGGGGCUCCCCCUUGGGGCCCACCGAUUUGGCGCACUGCUCUGAGACCACAUAAGCACACGCCAGGUUAGAGGGGUCCGAGGUCGUGGGAUAGCCACCCGCCUGCAGCACCAAAUCAGUGCGACCGCGGAAAGCCCCCCACACAGGGCCCCCUACCAUCUUGACCGUGACGGUGUAGGUGCCCGGAAUGAUGGGUCUGGUGUCCACUGGCACGUGAACCGUGAGGACGGCCGUGGCGGACAAGCCUGCUUUCUUUGCCGGGCUGCAUCCCCACCUGGCCACGGACAGGGUGCUUGUUGUCGGUGGGGACUGGAACUGUGUCACCGAUGCCAGUCAGGAGGCGGCCCCUAGCCCGUCACGUGCUGCAGGUGCCCCGCAACUUGCCAGCCUCCUCGCCCAGUUCAGUCUGGUGGACCCUUGGGCGAGCAAGCGUGGCGGCGCCAAGGGCUACACGCAUCCGGCCACGCCCAAGCCGGCCACUCCUGCACGCCUGGAUCGGUGGUAUGUCAGUGCCACCGCGGCGCCGUGGGUGGUGGAUGUCGCUCGCACGUAUGGGGCGCCUGGGGACCACAACGGUGUGCUGCUAACCCUGUCCUUGCCCGACCUGCCACAUGCGCACCGGGAGCAGUGGCGCUUCCCCACAUACCUGCUGUUUCACCCCUCACUGCGUCUGGAGCUCGAGCAGCGCUUGGAGGCGCACGUUGCCGCAAAUCCCGUGGCCAGUACAGGUGACGGCGCUUGCACGCAAUGGGAGGCGGACAAGUUCUUCUUGCGGGAGGCCGCCACCAGCAUCCACCGUCGGCAUGCACGCCAGACCCGGGAUGGGCUGCAUGGCGUGGUGCUGGCCGCAGACACGGCCGCUGCCCUGGCCGACCGGCCGGGUGCCAGCGCCGCGCAGCGUCAGGCUGCGGCCAUGGCCAACUUGGCAGUGCGGGAGGAGCGGGCAGCUGCCGCAGCGGCCAGCCACACUGCCCGCGCUGCACUGAUGGAGGAGCAUGGGGAGCGGGGCACUCGCUGGUUCCAUCGGCAGGCUGACGAGCCAGCAGCCGGCGCGCAGGAGCCCAUCACGCACUUGAAGGUGCCAGGGCAACCGGCGCCUGUGGCACUCACGGGGCCGGGCACGCGCAACACUGUCUCCGCAGCCGCCGCAGCCAUGUACAGCAGCACCAGCCCCACCGGCCUGUUCCGCGUGCAGCCGGUCUGUACGGCGUCGCAGCAACAGCUUCUGGCGGCCAUUGACCGCAAGGUUCCGGCGGAUCUGCACGCCGCCGCAGAGGGGUCCGGUGACGGCGCCCUCAGUGAUGCCGAGCUGAUGGCAGCGCUGGCUGGCUCCGCCAAUGGUAAAGCGCCUGGGUCGGACGGGGUCCCGUACGAGGUGUACAAGGUUUUCUGGGCGCUGCUGGGUCCGCGCUUGUGUGCUGCUGCUGCCGCUGCCUUUGCUGCCGCUGCAGACGCCCACGAUGGUGGUGAAAUGGCGGCGGCGCUGCCCGCCUCCUGGCGGGAGGGCAUCAUCACGCUCAUCUACAAGGGCAAAAGCCUGGACCGCGCCGAGCUGGCGUCCUACCGGCCCAUCACGCUGCUCAACUGCGACUUCAAGAUGGUGUCCAAGGCCGUCAGCGCCCGCCUGCAGCCCGCCCUGGAUGCAGUUGUGGAUGAGCUGCAGACCGCGUUCAUCACCGGCCGCUGGAUUGGAGACAACGCGCUGUACCUCCAAGGCCUGAUCGAAUGGAUGCGCCUGGACGUGGGCGCGGACGGCACGCCACGGCAGGGUGGUGCGCUGUACUUCUUGGACAUUGAAAAGGCGUAUGACCGGGUGCACCGGCAGUGGCUGUAUGCGUCCGCAGAGGGACUGGGGUUUGGGCCGCGCAUGCUGCGCUGGAUCCGCCUGCUCACUGCCAACGGCUCUGCCCGCGUGUGUGUGAACGGGAUGCUCUCUGACGCCUUCCCAGUGCUGAACGGCUUGCCGCAGGGCAGCACCGCCUCACCACCCCUGUGGGUCAUCCAGAUGCAGCCACUGACGUCCUUUCUGCGGCGGCAGGUGGAGCAAGGGGCACUGUGUUGUGCUGUGUUAUCCUGACAGUAAAAGGACUAGCUAGCAGAUGACAGACCAUCGUUUCCACAGCACCGCACUACAACUAUCCCCCCUCCAGAUGAGGCGUCCCGACGAAUUCAACUCGCAGAUACGGGAGCAGAGCUGCGAUACUCCUCAGUUCAGACGUAUCCCCGGAAGCAGAGCCUGCAUACUUCCGUGCCCAGCAGAUGGCGCGGAUCGAACCCGUGACUUGAGGAUAGCUGGUCUCGAUACCACUUAUUGUGCUGCGUUAUCCUGACAGUAAAAGGACUAGCUAGCAGAUGACAGACCAUCGUUUCCACAGCACCGCACUACACACUGCGCACGCCCCUGUUACCCAGCGGUGAGCAGGCGCCACCGGCUGCCCACCACGCUGACGACACGACCCUCACGGUGCGCGACCCGGCGGUGGACGGGCCGGUCCUGAUGGCGGCAGUACAGCUGUUCUGCCGCGCGUCCAACGCCCGUGUCCAUCCGGACAAGAGCAAGGCCAUGGGCCUUGGCAGGUUUGCGCACCUGACGGGCCCUUGCCCACACACGGGGGUGCCGUUUACCACUGGCGCCGUGACGCACCUGGGUGUGCCCCUGUCGUGGGACUCUGAUGCGGCUGCAGCUGACUUGUACACCCGGCGGGCUCGCGGCAUGGCGUUUGUGGCGCGUCUGUGGGCUGCCCUGUCUCUGACUCUGGUUGGCCGUGUGCACAUUGCGAAGCAGGUGCUGGCGGCGAAGCUGGCAUACCACUUCAGCUUCCUCAACCCGUCGCCUGCGCAGCUGAAGGAACUCACCGACCUGGUGGACCACUUUGCUGCGCGCUCCAUGCACGCUGAGGACGCCAGCCUGGUGUCGCACGGGAACCCGCUCCUGCUGCCAAAGCGGGAAACGGCCUGUCUGACGUACAAGGAUGGGGGUGUCAACCACGUCGACCUGCCUGCGUUCCUGUCUGCCCUGCAAGCUAAGACCUUCGCCCUCCUUGCCCAGCCAGGCCGGCAACCCUGGAAGAUGCUCACCCGGGCGCUGCUUACUCAUGUGCGCCCGGACUCCGCCACCACGUGGGCGUGGGUGUACAGCGACGCGCCGGUGCCAGCGGGGCUGCCUGCCCGGCUGGCGGCCGCGGUCGGCCACGUGCGGAGCGCGGGCGUGGAACAGCAUCCGCCGCAGCCAGCCACUCAGCCGCCAGCGGCGCCGCCACAGUGGCGGGUUAGCCUGGACCAGCUGUGGGUGGCUAACACUGCGGGGGCUGUGUCCUACGUCCACUACACGGGGCGGCUCUUGGAGCCUGGGCCUGGCGUGCUGCCCCCGGCGGUGGAUGGGGCGUGGCAGCCUGCCUGUGUGCUGCAGCAUCGCAAGCCGCGGCACCUGUGGACCUUUGAAGAGCGGGCGGCGUACGAUGCAGCAUCACCAGGGGACCGGGCGGGGGCGUGGCCUCGGGCGCCGUACUUCCUGGCGCCGGAGGCUGGGGUGGUGGUGCACCCGGAGCACUGCCGGAUUGCGGGUGUCAGCUUGGCGGACUACACGGUGCGGGACGUGCGGCGGGCCAUCACCGCGGCCAACCCGGCCGCACCUCCAGCUCCGGCCCGCCCCGCAGCCAUGCCGUGCCCGGCGCCAGCUCAGCAGGCGGGGGGUUCGGGGACCCAGCCGGCGGCACAGUCGCGGCUGGCGGAGCGGGAGGCGGAGUGGCAGCGUGCAGCGGCGCAGCUGACCACCACGGCGGCGCAGCAUUUCCACAAUAACCCGGUGGCUCUGGACCCCUGGCUUCACCGCACCUCUGCGGCAGCCGGGCUGCAGAACACGCCGGCGAGAGAACUGCAGUCGUAUGCGUCCCCGUCCCAGCAGUCGGGUGAGGGGCCGCGGCGGUCCGCGCGGCUGCAGGAGCGGGCGGCGGGAGGGGCGGGACCUAGCACUGGGCCUGCCACGGCGGUGGCGGCAGCAGCGGCGGCGGUGGAGGGCGACCCUCGCAUGCCGCCCCCGGAUGCGUCCCUUCUGCGGGGUACGUGGCGGAGGCUGUGGGACAGCCAUGCCAGUCGGGGGGCAAAGGUGCUGGUGUACAGGCUGCAACAUGCUUACCUGCCUUGCGGGCUGUACAGGGCGGGCAAGGGCAUUCGGCCACGGGUGACCACGGGGUGCGGGGGGUUGGGGGCGCACUGUCCUCACCCCGCCUGCGGGCCACCUGGCCCGCGGGCAUGGGCCAGCCUGACGCACAUCUUCCUGGAGUGUCCAGCUUAUGCGCAGGCGAGGACGUGGCUGCAGCAGCUGUGGGCCUGCGUGGCGCCCCAGGCAGCGGCGCCGCCUGUGACGGACGCGGGCUUCAUGCUGGGGGACCGCAUGGGUAUGUGGGCCUCAGGCCCGCGGGGGGCGGGCGCGCUGCUGUGGAGCACUUUGCGGGCCACCUUCUUGUACGCCGUCUGGUGUGCGUACUGGUCCCGCGAGCCUGCUAAGCAGACGUCGGAGCAUGUGGUUCGGGAGGUGGUCAGCGAGCUGCGCAGGGUGAUGCAGCUGCGUUUCACUGCCGCCACGCUAACCCCUGAAACCCUGUCGGCUCUGCCCACUCAGCUUCUCACCGCACAGCUCAAGGCGGCUAAGCUGGAGCACUUUGUUGCCAUCUGGUCGGCGGGUGGCGCGCUUUGUGAAGUGGAGGAGGUUCAGGGUGGGUCACCGAAGUUGAACUUGCGGCUGACGCUUGCAUCACCUGUGCAGGCCCCCUAGGUUUCCUUUUGGGCGGCGGUUCGUUCCAGGCGCUGGCGUGGCGUUUAUCGUCAUCAGCUUAUCUGGCGCCCAUGUGUGUUAGCUCUGGCUGGCGUCGCAGCGCCUGGGCGGCUGUGGACCUUCCUGCACAGCGCGUCUUGCAGCGGGCUGGAGCCCGCCUAGUCAGCGCCACAUCUGGCCCGUUUAGUUUUCUGCUUGUGUCUCCUCUGCCGGUUCUCCUGGGGUGUUGCUUAAGCAACCGACUUGUGGGGGUGGGGUGGGUUUUGGGCGGGCGAGUGCGUAGCGCUGGUGUUUCCUCUUCUGGCGCGCGGUGGUGGUGGUUCUUGCGGUUAGGCUGUGGUGUAGGCUGGUGCUUGGGUUAGGUCUGGCGGUGUUUUUGUGCAACCCCUCCCGGGGGGCGGGGGGGCCAGCCUUCUGCUCUGUCUGCCG
rnacentral:lncRNA from 1 species